GACGAACGCUGGCGGCGUGCUUAACACAUGCAAGUCGAACGGUAAGGCUCCAGCUUUCUGGGGUACACGAGUGGCGAACGGGUGAGUAACACGUGGGUGACCUGCCCUGCACUUCGGGAUAAGCCUUGGAAACUGGGGCUAAUACCGGAUAGGACCAUGGUGUGGAUACUGUGGUUGAAAGUUUUUUCGGUGUGGGAUGGGCCCGCGGCCUAUCAGCUUGUUGGUGGGGUAAUGGCCUACCAAGGCGGCGACGGGUAGCCGGCCUGAGAGGGUGGACGGCCACAUUGGGACUGAGACACGGCCCAGACUCCUACGGGAGGCAGCAGUGGGGAAUAUUGCACAAUGGGCGGAAGCCUGAUGCAGCGACGCCGCGUGGGGGAUGACGGCCUUCGGGUUGUAAACUCCUUUCACCAUCGACGAAGGGUUUCUGACGGUAGAUGGAGAAGAAGCACCGGCUAACUACG
rnacentral:rRNA from 1 species